CACGUUUUACAUCGCCCUUAAUUCCCAUUAGUCCCGCAAAUCUCACCGUGGAUGCAUCUAUCCCUCUUAUUUAGUGUUUUCUUUGGUUUGCAACUUCUCUUUCACGCAGUGGACUCUCAUUACGAUGCAGAGCGCUUGGGGAAGAUGACAGAUGUUCCAGAAAACCUGACAACUCCCAAUGAACAGGAGCUGCAGACUGUCCAUGAUCAUGACCAAGAGAAAUGCAGGGAACAGCAUCAGCAGCUAUACCUAUAUUGACUGAUCUCACAAAAGCCUCUGACUCUCUUAACUGAGACAGGCAGUCACAAGACAAAGUAAUCUAACAGAACCCAUUAAAAGAAAGAAGACAAAUAGCCAAUGUGCAGAAAAAGAAACAAAUCGUGGAAACCAUAAAAGUAAGCAAGUAGCAAUCAGAAAUGAAAGUGAACCCACAGGCAUGAAGCCAGCAGCCCAUUCAGGAGCUACAGCCGCAGUUCAGACCAGAGGAUUACCAGAUGGAAAGAUGAUGAAAUAAUUCACGGGUAUUCUCAAAGUCUCCGUGACAAGGGUAAUAUCUCCAUUAACAAAUGGGAAUUCCUUGCUGGUGAUGGUCGAAAAUGGAGAAGGAACAUUCAGGACAGCUGUGAAAACCUUGAGUUCAUCCAAUAGAAGUUCACCAAACUUCACAGUAGAUGGUGGAAGUAGCACCUCCUUAACUACCCACCAUCACUUCAGGCACUUCCUGCUCCAUAUCUGGUGGGUCUGACAUUUAAACACCCAAUGAUCUUGAAGCUAACAGGCUGCAUAGUCCUUGACAAGAGGAACAGCAUAAGAGGAAGCAAUCAUGUUUGUAACAUUGAUAAAUCUCGAUCUCAGAAGGAAUAUUAAAGUUGAUAGUUGCCUCAAUAAUUGUUGGGCUGCCAAGUAGGAAAUAUAUUGACAGAAGUUUAAAAAUCAACACUUAUUCAAGAGGCCACAGAGAGGCAGGAGAAUUCUAGAGAACAACUAUCUGUUUGUAUGGGGAAAAUUGACAGAUGCAGAGAAGAGUGACUGGAAGAAGAAAAUGUGGGUCGUGCAUUUUCUAUUUCCAAUGCACAUUUUCUGAAAGAAGAGGCUCUUCUCCUUUGCCACAGGCCAAAAUGUUUGAAUAAGUGUUUAAAUGUUUUGCAUAUAAAUUAAUCUGACAAGUUUUGUUGGCACAUCUUUGUUCACAGCAAAUUUGUUGGCACUUCUACGUUCACACAAAUUUAAGGGAUAAUUUCCCCUUAGGUUGCCGGGGGAGUAAUGUUCUGGCGGUCCCUCUUGCUGGCUGCAGUGUUACCCCACAGCACUCUGCUUUCUGGAGCCAUUCCAGAUUCAGAGAAGCAACAGUAAUUGAUCCUAAAGCUGCAAAUGACAACUUGUAACUAACUCUGCUUGCAGACAGAAGGGAUCAAUGUUCACUUUCAGUGUCUGGCUCGAGUGGAUUACCGGAGCACAGAGACUACAGAGCCAGGUCCCUCCCAAAUGUGGUGAUUCUGAAUCUUCCCUGUUGCCACUGUCUCCCUGUGCAAAGGGGCGGUGGACAAGGACACUAGCUUGACCUGGGACCUAUCCAGCAGAGAGUUGCCAGUCUGUAUGCAAGGGAGUAAUUACCAGAUGGGACAUUGGAUUCCCUAAUAGAUAGGUCAAAUCACAGGCUGCAGAGUGAGACAUGGCAAGGUCUGAUGUGGGCCUGUGGACUUGUGUGAUUCGCUCUUAUUCCCCUUGGCCCAUAACCCAAGUUGCAAAUGCAUUUGUUUUGGGGUUGUGAACAUAAAAAUAAUGUGACAGAGGGUGUAGGCCAUUAAGCCUCUCAAUCGUGCGCCAGCACCCAAGUAGGUCAUGGCUAACCUCAUCUCUGCAUUGCUAGUUAUCCCUGGUAACCUUUCACCUCUUCUUGCUUAUCAACAAUCUAAUUCUGCCUUAAAGCCUUCGAUCAAUCUGAUUUCACUUCCCUUUCAGGAAGGGAUUUCCAUAGGGCUCUGAGACAUAUAAUAUCCCACAAUCUCUAUUUUAAAGUCUGGCACCUUAGUUUGAAAGAGUGAUCCUUCGUUCUGCAUUCUCUUGCAAAAAGAACCAUCUUUUCCAUUCUCCCACACAUUUCAUUGGUUCUCUCAAACUAUGUUGUGUUUAAACUUGGAAAAAAUUAGAAGUGUUGUUUAUGAUCCCUUUAUUAAAUUUGAAAAGACUUGGAGGCCAUUCAUUCAACAUUUUCAUAUGAUGUAAUUUGAUCUUUUCCAAACUUAUUCUAUUUCUAUGUAAUAUAUGUUGAGAGGAACUGAGUCGACAACACUAAUGGUUCCUUUUUUUAUGAUGUUACAUAACAGUUCAUGUCUUUUUUUUUCUUAGUUUAGUUGAUUAACACUGUUUAGGUUAGUUCUUUGGGGGGAUAUAUUUUUAUUUUUUUUCUUUUUCAUGUUUUUUUGUUAGAUUUUUUUUUGUUUUAUAUUGUUCAUCUGUAUCCUGUAUGAUUGGGAGAUCUAACACUCGUGUCAACUGGGCUUAUAUUUAACUAUGUUAAUUACAGCAAUGUAUUCCCAAUAACUUUGUAUCAAUAUUAUGGUAUGUUUAUUAUUAUGAAACUAA